rnacentral:rRNA from 1 species
UUUUGGAUCCUGGGCUCAUAUUGACGCUGGCGGCAGGCCUAACACAUGCAAGUCGAACGGUAACAGGAAGCAGCUUGCUGCUUUGCUGACGAGUGGCGGACGGGUGAGUAAUGUCUGGGAAACUGCCUGAUGGAGGGGGAUAACUACUGGAAACGGUGGCUAAUACCGCAUAACGUCGCAAGACCAAAGAGGGGGACCUUCGGGCCUCUUGCCAUCAGAUGUGCCCAGAUGGGAUUAGCUUGUUGGUGAGGUAACGGCUCACCAAGGCGACGAUCCCUAGCUGGUCUGAGAGGAUGACCAGCCACACUGGAACUGAGACACGGUCCAGACUCCUACGGGAGGCAGCAGUGGGGAAUAUUGCACAAUGGGCGCAAGCCUGAUGCAGCCAUGCCGCGUGUAUGAAGAAGGCCUUCGGGUUGUAAAGUACUUUCAGCGGGGAGGAAGGUGUUGUGGUUAAUAACCGCAGCAAUUGACGUUACCCGCAGAAGAAGCACCGGCUAACUCCGUGCCAGCCGCCGCGGUAAUUA